rnacentral:lncRNA from 1 species
GAUAACUAGGGUUUAUAGUCUUCAACCACUAAGAAAAUAUAGUCUGCCCUUCCACGAAAUAUUUAAUUAGAAUUUUAUUAAAUGUUUAUGAAUUUUGGAAAAUUCCACCCGACAACAGUUUUAAGUUGAAUCAAUGCAGACCAGACCAUUAACUGAUGCUCAUUAGCUAGUUGAUACAUUUGUCUUUUGAAAUAGAACUGACAUAUAAGGAUCGUAAUGGUGCAAUGUGGAUAAAUCUAUCGGUU